GGGCUGUACCAUGCCAGCAUAGCAGGUGAGUAAGACCAUCCAGGGGAAACCCCCACCUUCUUCAAUAGCCAAUCAAGAUUUCAUGUCCUUUUAAGCACAACUGGAGGUUGCAAUUUCAGGGACAGUCAUACCAUGGUCCCCCAGGAUGCCAUUCUCACUGUCAUUUACAUAUCCAGUGGAAACAUCAAGCUGCCAGGAGGGCAUACUCUCUUUCAAGUGACAUCCCGGGUAGUACAUCAACCCUAUGGGAUCCACAAAUUCCAGUGACAAGUGCAUAUAUUUACUGCGGACAUGGUAAAGAGGUCUCUUCAGGAACAUCUGCCUACAUUGAUCCACAAAGGAAAUUCUAGAUUUGGAUGUGAGAAAAUAUUAUGUUUAGUCAAGAGUGGGACAUACGACUUGCCCAUUCUCCAUGCUGAUUGUUUAUUAACAACUAUGGGCCAGUGGAGCGUUAUGUAACGUUCCCGCUCAAUUGUUAACUGCGCUAGAAACAAUCUUUUUGCGAGCAUCGGAUUGUGCUCGUAUUACAAGUUGUAAGUAAAUUGUUUUUGAUUGCAUGUUAACCCGAUUAGUGUAAAAAGCCGAACUUACAAUAUUGUGUGCACAAUAACGUAUUCUCCCAUAGAAGUCAAUGGAGCAAAAAAAGUGGAACAAAUACCCAACACCCUACUCGCGUGCAAACCUGAUAACAUAUUCUCAAAUGCGCUAAUAUUUCACAUUCCAAUGUUCUUCAUAUAACAGAAUAUGUUUAUUUAUUCAUAAAUACCUAUUUCUACAUAUAUCUAUGGUAUUUUGCUAAAAUAUAUAUCUAUACCUAUAUAAAUAAAUAGAAUAAUUACCGUAUGUGCAAAACAUUGGAAUAUGAAAUAUUUACAGUAAAUAAACAGUAUACUACUUUAUUAAAUAUGAAUAUUGCAUAAAUAUGUUUUUUUUUCAUGUUUUCAUCUACUUGACUGCAAAGGGCUCCAAAGCACGUAUAUAUGUAUGUGUUCAUAUACUGUAUAUAUACAUAUCCAUAUAUUGACAUGUAUAUGUAUGUAUCCCUAUUUUAAAGCCUUUAGCCUGCCUUUUUUUUAUCUGAGACCUGAUAUCUUUGAGCCCUUCUAACUUUUUUGUGCAAUUUUUCUUAAAAUAAUCCUUAUUAGACAGUGUUAUUAUGAGUGUAACUGUACUUUGUAAUGUAUUUUUGGUGUGUUUUGUGAUACUUUUUUGUUUUGCGAAACAGUUAACCAGAGCUCUAAGGUCGCGCUUAACUAAAAUUGCGCUCAAGCGAUCGUGUUUACUUUCAACUUGUAAUACAAGUGGGGAAAAAAACUUUUUUGCUUGCACGUAACUGUUAGCGCUCCACUUGUAAUCUAGCCCUAUGUUGGUACACAUUGAUCAUGGUGUAUGAUGCAUAUAAUUCAUAACAUAUCUUAACAAGUACCCUGAUUUACCUAUUCCAAUAUCCAAAGAAAAUAGCAGCAGUGUUCUCCGCAGUACCUUUUCAAUGGAUGCACCACCCGCAUUUAAUUUUUAAAGGAAAUAAUAUUAUUAUUCAGACACCUUUUUUGUUACAGUGUUUGUUAUAAGCAACAAAAACUUUACUCUUAAAGUGAAUGUCAACUUUCAUGAUAAAGUGCCCGUUUUUAAAAAGAAACGAUUAAAAACGGGCACUUUCAUUCAUGAAAGUUUACAUUGCACCGGAUUUUAUGUAUGUAUGUAUUGGGUACUUGUAAAGUGCGGCUUAUCACCCGUAAGGGUCUCAAUUUUAUCAACCUCGGAAGGAUGAAAGGCUGAGUGGACCUCACCAGGGAUCGAACCUGCAACCCUUGGGUUGCUACAGAGCUCAGCCACAGUGCCUUAGCAUGCUGAGCUGUUACGAAUACUUACCUUCUCCUGAAACGCAGGAUCGCCGAUCUCCCGCUUGCUUCUUUCUGCUGUACUUACACAGCAAUGACGAAAACGGCUUCCUCCAAUCACAGCGUAGCCUCACCAGAUGAACGCUCCAGGGGGGAAGUCGUGAUUGGAGAGAGCCGGUGUUCUGGUAAGAGGGCGAACUUUGGAA